ACAAACUUGGUCAUUUAGAGGAAGUAAAAGUCGUAACAAGGUUUCCGUAGGUAAGUUUACAAUGCCCCCUGGGAGAUUAUUGAAAAGGGGCCCCAAACGAAAGCAUUCUUGAGAACUAUUACUCGACACUACGCACACACCGCUACACUACUACGCAAUCAACAAUCAUCACAAUGCCCGAUUACAUGCGCCAUCUAGGCAGUCUCGCCGUACCAUCUCGUCUUUUGUGCCCGCCGCCGACUCCGAUUCCAUAAACUUCUCAGGGGUUUAGAAUAGUUUGAAUUAAUGCUAAUUUUGCUUUAGGUGAACCUGCGGAAGGAUCAUUACAAGGAUUUUAUAUCCCAACCCUUGUGUACCUAUCUUUUUGCUUCGGCGUUGCGGGCGCCGAUGCCUUUUAAACUCUGUAUUGUGUAUUGUCUAAGAAAAAAGAAAACAAUCAAAACUUUCAACAACGGAUCUCUUGGUUCCCGCAUCAAUGAAGAACGCAGC
rnacentral:misc_RNA from 1 species